GAUGAACGCUAGCGAUAGGCUUAACACAUGCAAGUCGAGGGGUAACGUGUUGGAAGCUUGCUUCCGAUGACGACGACCGGCGGAUGGGUGCGUAACGCGUAUGCAACUUGCCUCACAGAGGAGAAUAACCCGGAGAAAUCCGGACUAAUGCUCCAUACACUCUUUAGCACGCCUGUGCGUAAGAGGAAAGAUUUAUCGCUGUGAGAUAGGCAUGCGUCCUAUUAGGUAGUUGGUGAGGUAACGGCUCACCAAGCCGACGAUAGGUAGGGGUGCUGAGAGGCAGAUCCCCCACAUUGGGACUGAGACACGGCCCAAACUCCUACGGGAGGCAGCAGUGAGGAAUAUUGGUCAAUGGAGGAAACUCUGAACCAGCCAAGUCGCGUGAAGGAAGAAUGUCCUAAGGAUUGUAAACUUCUUUAGCGAGUGAGUAAGGACUUCCACGCGUUGGGAGUUUGAAAGUAGCUCGAGAAUAAGUAUCGGCUAACUCCGUGCCAGCAGCCGCGGGUAAUACGGAGGAUACCAGCGUUAUCCGGAUUUAUUGGGUUUAAAGGGGUGCGCAGGUGGUCCUGCAAGUCAGUGGUGAAGAGCUGAGGCUCAACCCUCAGCCUUGCCGUUGAAACUGCAAGACUUGAGAGUACAUGAUGUGGGCGGAAUGCGUAGUGUAGCGGUGAAAUGCAUAGAUAUUACGCAGAACUCCGAUUGCGAAGGCGUCUCACCAAUGUAUGUCUGACACUGGGGCACAAAAGUGUGGGGAGCCAUACGGG
rnacentral:rRNA from 1 species